UUGAAAUUACACAAGGUUUCAAACUUCACCUUUAUAUUUAGUAUUUAUUAUAUAUCUUAAAUGUUUAACCUUAUUGUAAACCUUCAACGUUUGAAAUGAAAGAACAAUUUCAAGGUGACUUUGUGAAGGUUGGAACUCACAUGCUGGAGUUUUAGAGAUGGUACAAUUGGUUCCUUUUUCUAGUGGUAUCAAUUUGUAGUGUUGAGCAUUGUAUAUAGAUGGCUCUCUAGUAAUGAUCAUGGCAGCAUUUAUUUUUCUUGUGUUCAAGAUUUAUUAAUAUGAAUUAAUAAUGCUAUCAUAUUUUCAAAAAUUCAAAUAAUUUAAAGCAGGUCAAGGUUUAUUUUAUUAAAAGCUUUUUAUAGCAAUUGUUAAAGCUUUUUUCCAAUUGUUGUCCAACAUUUACGAUUUGUUGGAAACAAAUAUGUUGUAAUACUGCGGUGUACUUACGGCCAGAUAAUUAAAGAUGGUCAAAACACGAUUGCAGUGUUCCUACUAGAUAAUAUGAAGAUUGUCAAGAUACGAUUGUGGUAUCCCUAUAAUGUCUAUUUACAUUUCAAACAUCAAACCGCUAAAUGGUGAAAAAAAUUCUUUUGAAAAAUAAUAAGUUUGUUGCUCAUAUCCACAGCCCAAGGGUGGCUGUCACAAAGCCAACUCUUUUCGCGCAACCUGUGUAGUGUAAAAGAGUUGGGAAUAUUUAUAUGGAAAACAAUAAAAAGGUAAUAAGGGAUGUAUGUUGGAAUCUUUGGAUUGACAAGAAAAUAUUUACCUUAGGAACACAACAGGAUGAAUCUAUCAGCAAAAGUGAGUGUGUUACGAAGGACGUCGAAUGUGAGUAGACAUAUUCACCUAUAUGUGUGCAUGCUCUAUUGGUCCAGUUGGCAAUUUAUAACAGAUAUGAAACAUUUGUGUAACAUUCAAGUUAAUAUUUGUGAAUAUUGAUUGUAUCAAAUGCAAUAUGCUUUUGAAUUACGUUUUUGCAUUACGUAGUAGAUGCAUUGAAAAUGGCAAACUAAAUGCCUUACAUAUUCAGAUGUGUGGUGUUGUGAGUUUGUAAAGGAAAGGAGAAAGGAUAGUAUUAUUCCAAUUGAAGUCGUGUUGUCAUCAAAAUGUUUAUGAAGUUUUUGUUUUAGGUAAGCAUUAAUGGGAGUCUAAAAUCUCUGAGAAUAUUAAAAGUAUGUUUCAUGUGCAGAACAUUAUAGUAAAUUGGCGAAUUUAAAGAUAAGUAUAUCUUAAAAUUUAUUAUAAUAUUGUUACUAAUGUGUUCUUUCUAUUUUCAGGUUCUAGUAUGAAAUUAUUUCUGAUUAUUAAUAGCUUUCUUUCUUUUUCAGGUAGUUCCAGCAAUGAAUCAAUAAUGCAGAAAUUGAAUGCAACGAUCAACAUAACUACGACUCAUCACAUCAAAAGAGAUAUAUUUUUUAAACAACAAUAU